AUCUAGCUGACGAGUCCCAUAUAAGACAAAACACGCGUCCUAGAU
rfam:Schistosoma curassoni strain Dakar, Senegal genome assembly, scaffold: SCTD_scaffold0001427